GACGGGGGGUCCUAGCGUUGUUCGGAAUCAUUGGGCGUAAAGCGUGUGCAGGUGGUUUUGUAAGUUAGAUGUGAAAGCCCCGGGCUUAACCCGGGAAGUGCAUUUAAAACUACAAAACUUGAGUAUGGAAGAGGGUCGUGGAAUUCCUGGUGUAGUGGUGAAAUGCGCAGAUAUCAGGAAGAACACCUAUGGCGAAGGCAGCUCUCUGGGCCGGUACUGACGCUGAGGAGCGAAAGCGUGGGGAGCAAACAGG
rnacentral:rRNA from 1 species